rnacentral:piRNA from 1 species
UGCGAUGAGGAAACCUCAGGUGUGCAAGGGC